rnacentral:rRNA from 1 species
AAAACGACUCUCGGCAACGGAUAUCUCGGCCCUCGCACCGAUGAAGAACGUAGCGAAAUGCGAUACUUGGUGUGAAUUGCAGAAUCCCGUGAACCAUCGAGUCUUUGAACGCAAGUUGCGCCCUAAGCCUUCUGGCCGAGGGCACGUCUGCCUGGGUGUCACAAA